rnacentral:rRNA from 1 species
UACAGAGGUGGCAAGCGUUGUUCGGAAUUACUGGGCGUAAAGGGCGAGUAGGUGGCCAUCUAAGUCAGACGUGAAAUCCCCGGGCUCAACCUGGGAACUGCAUUUGUGACUGCACGGCUAGAGUGUGUCAGAGGGGGGUAGAAUUCCACGUGUAGCAGUGAAAUGCGUAGAUAUGUGGAGGAAUACCGAUGGCGAAGGCAGCCCCCUGGGAUAACACUGACGCUCAUGCACGAAAGCGUGGGGAGCAAACAGG